rnacentral:miRNA from 1 species
UAGCACCAGGGUAUAUCGGGAU